UACCAGCACCCCGAGUGGUCGGGGCGUUUAUUGGGCCUAAAGCAUCCGUAGCCGGUUCUACAAGUCUUCCGUUAAAUCCACCUGCUUAACAGAUGGGCUGCGGAAGAUACUAUAGAGCUAGAAGGCGGGAGAGGCAAGCGGUACUCGAUGGGUAGGGGUAAAAUCCGUUGAUCCAUUGAAGACCACCAGUGGCGAAGGCGGCUUGCCAGAACGCGCUCGACGGUGAGGGAUGAAAGCUGGGGGAGCAAACCGG
rnacentral:rRNA from 1 species